rnacentral:rRNA from 1 species
CCUACGGGCGGCAGCAGUGGGGAAUAUUGGGCAAUGGGCGCAAGCCUGACCCAGCAACGCCGCGUGAAGGAAGAAGGCUUUCGGGUUGUAAACUUCUUUUGUCAGGGACGAAGCAAGUGACGGUACCUGACGAAGAAGCCACGGCUAACUACGUGCCAGCAGCCGCGGUAAUACGGAGGUGGCAAGCGUUAUCCGGAGUUACUGGGUGUAAAGGGCGUGUAGGCGGGGAAGAAAGUCGGAUGUGAAAACCACGGGCUAACCAUGUGGCCUGCAUUUGAAACUGUUUUUCUGGAGUGCUGGAGAGGAAACCGGAAUUUCGAGUGUAGGGGUGAAAUGCGUAGAUAUACGGAGGAACACC